rnacentral:rRNA from 1 species
AUUGACGGGGACCCGCACAAGCGGUGGAUGAUGUGGUUUAAUUCGAUGCAACGCGAAAAACCUUACCCACCUUUGACAUGUACGGAAUCCUUUAGAGAUAGAGGAGUGCUCGAAAGAGAGCCGUAACACAGGUGCUGCAUGGCUGUCGUCAGCUCGUGUCGUGAGAUGUUGGGUUAAGUCCCGCAACGAGCGCAACCCUUGCCAUUAGUUGCUACGAAAGGGCACUCUAAUGGGACUGCCGGUGACAAACCGGAGGAAGGUGGGGAUGACGUCAAGUCCUCAUGGCCCUUAUAGGUGGGGCUACACACGUCAUACAAUGGCUGGUACAAAGGGUUGCCAACCCGCGAGGGGGAGCUAAUCCCAUAAAGCCAGUCGUAGUCCGGAUCGCAGUCUGCAACUCGACUGCGUGAAGUCGGAAUCGCUAGUAAUCGUGGAUCAGAAUGUCACGGUGAAUACGUUCCCGGGUCUUGUACACACCNCCCGUCACACCAUGGGAGCGGGUCUCGCCAGAAGUAGGUAGCCUAACCGUAAGGAGGGCGCUUACCACGGCGGGGUUCGUGACUGGGGUGAAGUCGUAACAAGGUAACCGUAAAGGGNGAAU